rfam:Orchesella cincta Ocin01_Sc0484, whole genome shotgun sequence.
GUCAGGAUGGCCGAGUGGUCUAAGGCGGUAGCUUCAGGUGCUAUUCAGAGAAAUCUGGCGUGGGUUCGAAUCCCACUUCUGACA